rnacentral:tRNA from 1 species
GGAUGGAUGUCUGAGCGGUUGAAAGAGUCGGUCGUGAAAACCGAAGUAUUGAUAGGAAAUACGGGGGGUUCGAAUCCCUCUCCAUCCG